rnacentral:rRNA from 1 species
ACCUUUUGCAUCAUGAAUUAGCCAGUAACCUUUAAGCAAAAUGAAUUUUAGUUUAAACCCCCGAAACUAAGUGAGCUACUCCAAGACAGCCUAAAUAUAGGGCAAACCCGUCUCUGUGGCAAAAGAGUGGGAAGAGCUUUGAGUAGAGGUGAUAAACCUACCGAACUUAGUAAUAGCUGGUUGCCUGAUAAAUGAAUAGAAGUUCAGCCUAUUAACUUUUUAUCUCCCAACUGGCUCACCCUAAAAGCUAAAUAUCAAGAAGUUAAUAGAGUUAAUUAAAGGGGGUACAGCCCCUUUAAAAAAAGACACAACUUUAACAGAAGGUAAAAGAUUAAAAUUAACUUAAGGCAUUAUGUUUUAGUGGGCCUAAAAGCAGCCACCCUAGAAGAAAGCGUUACAGCUCAAACAUAACUCCAACCAAUAAUACUAAUAACUUACUCUUACACCUCUUUAAAACCUACCAGGCCUUUCUAUAAAAUAUAGAAGCGAUUAUGCUAAUAUGAGUAAUAAGAGGCUACAACCUCUCCCCGCACAAGUGUAAAUCAUAACAGACAAACUACU